rnacentral:rRNA from 1 species
UGCAGUCGAACGAUGAUCCCAGCUUGCUGGGGGAUUAGUGGCGAACGGGUGAGUAACACGUGAGUAACCUGCCCUUAACUCUGGGAUAAGCCUGGGAAACUGGGUCUAAUACCGGAUAUGACUCCUCAUCGCAUGGUGGGGGGUGGAAAGCUUUUUGUGGUUUUGGAUGGACUCGCGGCCUAUCAGCUUGUUGGUGAGGUAAUGGCUCACCAAGGCGACGACGGGUAGCCGGCCUGAGAGGGUGACCGGCCACACUGGGACUGAGACACGGCCCAGACUCCUACGGGAGGCAGCAGUGGGGAAUAUUGCACAAUGGGCGAAAGCCUGAUGCAGCGACGCCGCGUGAGGGAUGACGGCCUUCGGGUUGUAAACCUCUUUCAGUAGGGAAGAAGCGAAAGUGACGGUACCUGCAGAAGAAGCGCCGGCUAACUACGUGCCAGCAGCCGCGGUAAUACGUAGGGCGCAAGCGUUAUCCGGAAUUAUUGGGCGUAAAGAGCUCGUAGGCGGUUUGUCGCGUCUGCCGUGAAAGUCCGGGGCUCAACUCCGGAUCUGCGGUGGGUACGGGCAGACUAGAGUGAUGUAGGGGAGACUGGAAUUCCUGGUGUAGCGGUGAAAUGCGCAGAUAUCAGGAGGAACACCGAUGGCGAAGGCAGGUCUCUGGGCAUUAACUGACGCUGAGGAGCGAAAGCAUGGGGAGCGAACAGGAUUAGAUACCCUGGUAGUCCAUGCCGUAAACGUUGGGCACUAGGUGUGGGGGACAUUCCACGUUUUCCGCGCCGUAGCUAACGCAUUAAGUGCCCCGCCUGGGGAGUACGGCCGCAAGGCUAAAACUCAAAAGGAAUUGAC